rnacentral:rRNA from 1 species
CCAGACUCCUACGGGAGGCAGCAGUGGGGAAUAUUGGGCAAUGGGGGAAACCCUGACCCAGCGACGCCGCGUGAGGGAAGAAGGUUUUCGGAUUGUAAACCUCUGUCCUUGGUGACGAUAAUGACGGUAGCCAAGGAGGAAGCCACGGCUAACUACGUGCCAGCAGCCGCGGUAAUACGGAGGAUGCGAGCGUUAUCCGGAUUUAUUGGGUUUAAAGGGUGCGUAGGCGGACAGUCAAGUCAGCGGUAAAAAUGCGGUGCUCAACGCCGUACAGCCGUUGAAACUGGCAGUCUUGAGUGGGCGAGAAGUAUGCGGAAUGCGUGGUGUAGCGGUGAAAUGCAUAGAUAUCACGCAGAACUCCGAUUGCGAAGGCAGCAUACCGGCGCCCGACUGACGCUGAGGCACGAAAGCGUGGGUAUCGAACAGGAUUAGAUACCCCUGUA